rnacentral:lncRNA from 1 species
CCUGCCUUGGCCUCCCAAAGUGCUGGGAACACAGGCGUGAGCCACCAUGCCCGGCCUCAAGAAUCUGUUCUUCAUGGGUUAUCUACUGUUUCAUUACAACAAUCAUCUUGUGAGUUAGGUAUUAUCCCCAUUUUAUACCCAGAGAAACUAAGCCUUAGAAAGGUAACUAAGGAUACACACACACAGAGACACUUUUAAUACGUAGAUAGGUGAGUAACAGAGCUAGUACUCUAACCCUGGUCUGAUUCCAGAGCCUAUACAGCCUCUCCUGGUAAGGCAGAUGUUAACAUUUUGAAGCAAUGGUAAAUUAAAGGAUGAAAUAACUCCUGGCCUUAAGUCCCUGCUAUCCAUAGCCAGUGGGCAUCUGCUCACUCCAUGCCAUAGGUGCUUGAUGGCAGAGGCAAACUGCAUAGCAACAUAUGGUGAAAAUGGACUUUUUACAGUAAUACUGAAUAGAAAUACCUAGAAUAGUCUCUCUCCUUAUAGUCCUCGUAAAACCUAUGUUAUAAACCUUAAAGACAGCACAAAUAGUACCCUUCCUGUGAGGCAGGCCCUGGAAAAACUGUAUGUUUUCUCCUUUUCACUUUGAGGAUAUUACGGCAUUUACUACACUAUGAGUCAUCAUCAGCUUCCCUGCUAGACUGCGCACUUCGUAAGAACUGUAUCUUAUUAUUCGUGGCAUCCCCAGCACUGUACCUGACACACAAGAGGGACUCGAUCACACAGUCACUCUUCAUCACAGCUGGAGAAUCUGAAUUUACGAGUAUCUUGCAUCAAAACGCUGCCUCAGAGAGAACAGAAAGUGAAAAUACAGAUUCCUGAAAUCAUACAAUAAGAGUAAAUGGGGCAUAGGAUUGGACAGUUAAGAAGAUGGGUGCACCAAGCAAGUGGUAUGCAGUAAUUAAGGUAAAUACUGGGUUUUGAGAACAAUCACCAAAAAUCCAAUCUCUCAUGCCCAUAUCCCUCCAUUUCCACUUGCAGGGAUGAAACACAAAUGUUUCCUGUACAAACUUUCAGCAAGUUAACGGUCACCUUCAUCAUUUUUCUAAGCUUUUUAGUCUAAUUACCAAAAUAGAGAAGAAGGCUGGGAUUCAGGGUGGAGGCCUUGCUGGAAAUAAAGAAAUGUGCAUCUGGCCAAGCUAUGCCUGGUCCUCUCUCUCAGGAAAGUAAGUCAGGGAAGGGGAGCAGGAAGGUGACGAUGGGCACCGCCAACAUCCCGACCUUCCACAUCACUGGCAGGGAGGGGGUGAAGCAUGGGGCAUGGACAGACCACCCAAGUGGCAGACAGGAGCCUUGGGCUCUAAUACUGGCCACAUUGCCUUCUGAUGGCGUAGAUGAACCAUGUAACCUUGACUUAAAUUUUCAACUUGUGAUAUAUGGAGAG